rnacentral:rRNA from 1 species
UACGAAGGGGGCGAGCGUUGUUCGGAUUUACUGGGCGUAAAGGGCGCGCAGGCGGCGAUCUUUGUCAGGCGUGAAAGCCCCGGGCUUAACCUGGGAACUGCGCUUGGGACGGGAUUGCUGGAGACCGGGAGAGGAGAGUGGAAUUCCGAGUGUAGAGGUGAAAUUCGUAGAUAUUCGGAGGAACACCAGAAGCGAAGGCGGCUCACUGGCCCGAUACUGACGCUGAGGCGCGAAAGCGUGGGGAGCAAACGGG